AUGGUUGCUAUAGAUCCGUCUAACACUGAUCACCAACAGUUAAAGAUCAGCAGUAAGUGAGUGUAUCUCCACUUUCACUUAUCAAAGAGUACACGGGAAGCUGUCAAAUAACUCUGUUAUUUCUGCUAUUUUGUCCCGUACAUUCGUAAGGAAGCACAGUCAGCAAUGCGAUAUAUUCUCCUAGCUGUGGUGGUCCUAAUGAUACUGGUGGACCAAACCAAUGGCUUACGAUGCCAACGGUGCAAAGCCCAGAAAUGUGUGAAGCCUAGGGGAUGCAUAAGAAGGGACUACGUAAAAGACCUCUGCAAUUGCUGUGAUGUAUGUCCCAUUGAAUUCGGGCAACCUUGCUCUGGACUGAAACCAAAGUGCGCAGGGAAUAUGUGGUGUAUCAAGAUUGAGGAGAAUCACGCCGAGGCCAGGAAGAACUUAGUUUGGAGUGACAGAUUCCGUGGUGUGUGUGGAAGAAUUAGACUCCCAAGAAUGCAAAGACCUGCUUGGUAAAUGUUCAUGCCGCUCGACGACGGUCUCCAAAAGCACAAGGCAUAAAAACGUUGAAUCCAGUUCUUGGGCAAUAUGGAAGGACCGUCUUACCAUGUAAACAACACACUACUAAAUAUUGAACGAAAAUAUUCAGUAAACUAUUUGAGAAUCUCUCAA